AUACGGCCAUAUCAUGUUCAUACACCGGUUCUCGUACGAUCACCGAAGUAAAGCAAUGUCGAGUCUGGUCCUUACUUAGCUGGGUGGCUGCUUUGGAAUACAGGU